GUCGUUGUAGUAUAGUGGUGAGUAUCCCCGCCUGUCACGCGGGAGACCCGGGUUCGAUCCCCGGCAACGGUG
rnacentral:tRNA from 1 species